AGCGAACGCUGGCGGCAGGCCUAACACAUGCAAGUCGAACGAACCUUUCGGGGUUAGUGGCGGACGGGUGAGUAACACGUGGGAACGUGCCUUUAGGUUCGGAAUAACUCAGGGAAACUUGUGCUAAUACCGAAUGUGCCCUUCGGGGGAAAGAUUAAUCGCCUUUAGAGCGGCCCGCGUCUGAUUAGCUAGUUGGUUGAGGUAAUGGCUCACCAAGGCGACGAUCAGUAGCGGGUCUGAGAGGAUGAUCAGCCACAUUGGGACUGAGACACGGCCCAAACUCCUACGGGAGGCAGCAGUGGGGAAUCUUGCGCAAUGGGCGAAAGCCUGACGCAGCCAUGCCGCGUGAAUGAUGAAGGUCUUAGGAUUGUAAAAUUCUUUCACCGGGGACGAUAAUGACGGUACCCGGAGAAGAAGCCCCGGCUAACUUCGUG
rnacentral:rRNA from 1 species